UGGAAGGCGGAAUUCUAAGGCAGAAUUCCCAGGGCUGACUUUGCCUCAGGCGUUACUCCUGUGAUUCUGUUAGGAUACACCGCAAAGGUGAUUUUGCGAAGGUGAAUAAAUUAGUUACUAACCAGCUGACCUUAGGUUAGGGAAACCAUUCAGGUGGACCUGAUCUAAUCACAUGGGCCCUUUAAAAUUGGAGAGUUUUCUUUGGCUGGAGGCAGAAGAGGAGACCCUAGAGACGCCAAGCCUGAGAAAGCACUCAACCUACAAUUCCUGGCUUUGAGGAUGGAGCAAGCGGGCAACAAGCCAAGGAAUCCUGAAAACCCUCGAUACCUGUCCCAGGUAGGAGGAGGAGCAGAGAACAGAAGGUUUCUGUGAAGCUGCAUUAAUCACCAAGGAGAGGCAGGUGGCUACAAACCCACAGAGUGUGACCCAGGGGACUGAAAACGCUUCUGUGAGGCUUGAUAAUAGCUCGUCUGGUGCAAGUGUGGUAGCUAUUGACAACAAAAUCGAGCAAGCUAUGGAUCUGGUGAAAAGCCAUUUGAUGCAUGCCGUCAGAGAGGAAGUGGAGGUCCUCAAAGAGCAAAUCAAAGAACUAAUAGAGAAAAAUUCCCAGCUGGAGCAGGAGAACAAUCUGCUGAAGACACUGGCCAGUCCUGAGCAGCUUGCCCAGUUUCAGGCCCAGCUGCAGACUGGUUACCCCUUGCCACCACCCAGCCAUAGGGCACCACACAGCCCCCUGCCGAGCCAGCAUCUCAGGGCUCAGGACCAACCACAUAGCUGCCUAUGUCCCCGCAGAACUGGCUGCUGUGUGUGAACUGAACAGACGGAGAAGAUGUGCUAGCGAGAAUCCGCCUCCACAGUCACCCAUUUCAUUGCUCGCUGCGAAAGAGACGUGAGACUGACAUACGCCGUUAUCUCUUUUUUCCAGUAUUAAACACUCAUAUACUUAUGGCUUGAAGAAAUUACUUAGUUGGGUGAAUGAAAGGUUAAUCCGAGAAUUAGCAUGUUAUACUGGGACCUCAUGCAGCCUGGCAGAUAUCUGAGAAAUGGUUUAAUUCAUGCUCAGGAGCUGUGUGCCUUUCCAUCCCUGCUGGCUCCCUACCCCUCACUGCCAAGGGUUCUCUCUCUUGCUUGCUCUUAGGGUACUACCUGGGGUUGGGAAGUGAUGGAACUCCUUACUGGACUGCCUCUCUCCUCCCCCCAGGGGGAACUUGAAAGAAGGGUAAAAGACUAAAAUGAGGGGGAACAGAGUUCACUGUACAAAUUGACUGUCACCAAAAUCCAUAAAAAACAAUAGUACUGUGCCUCUUUCUUCUUAAACAGUGGAUGACACAAAACUAUGAGAGUGACAAAAUGGUGACAGGUAGCUGGGACCUAAGCUAUCUUACCAUGAAGGUUGUUUUGCUUAGUGUAUAUUUGUGUAUGUAGUGUAACUAUUUUGUACAACAGAGGACUGUAACUACUAUUCAGCUGGUACAGAUUGAAACUUAGAUGUUUCGCUGGCUCUCUGAGGAGGUGUGGAUUUUAUAUAUAGAUCUACAUAAAAACUCCGACAUGACAGGAACCACACCUAAAGAAAUUUUAAGAAUUUGGCACAGUUACUCACUUUGUGUAAUUUGAGACCUAGCUGCUGAAUACCCUGAAGUAAAUCCCUGUUCACUGAAGUCUUUCCAUUGAGCUGGUCGAAUACUUUGAAAAUGCUGAGUUCUAGCUCGUGAAACAGAUUUCCCAGUAGGGGUGUCUGCAUAUCACCUGUAUAUCUAUAUGUUUCUGUGCAUGUUCUCUACACAGUUGUAAGGUGUCACUGUAUUUAACUGUUGCACUUGUCAACUUUCAAUGAAGCCUAUAAAAUGUUGAUAAAAAAAUUCAAGUUCA